AUAAAAAUGUUGAACAGCAAUGGGCCCACCCAGGCAGACUGAGACCAAGAACAUGCACAGAGUGCAGCAAUCAAUAAGCACCAAGCUCAGCAGCCAGUCAGACACUCUCCAAAGACCUUCUUUUGUUUCCUGGCCCCCCAACAAAAAGCUGUCCUUGCUCAACGUCGCUACACCUUGCAUAAUCACACUUUGGCAUCCCAUGAGUUGCCUUGGCCACUCCUUGUGAACACAACCACGUGCUAUUGCAGCGUGCCCGACCGUUUCCUUCCUUCCUUCUUUGAAUGGAUUGCAUUUGCAUUCUGACUGCUGUCCAAGGAGCCAAGAGCCGCUUGUCUUCACAGCAACCCUGUGAAGUUAGCCAAGAAAGACAAGAGCGGCUGACCUGGGGGCCCCAGCUCAGAGGCCCCUCGUGGCAAGUUCUUUCCAGAUGCAGCAGGCAAUGGAAAGAGGGCACUCCAUCCACCUCUGCCCCCUUUCCUGCUCCCAGUCCCUCUCUUGGGAGGGCUGUGAUGGGUUCCCAGAGGAAAAGGCACCCAGGACAGCUUUGUUUACUCCAAAGCAAAACUGACAGCAAAGAUCAGCACUCCUCCGCUUUUGUGUUUUCUGGUUCUGGUUCAGGUUUGUGCACAAAGUGCUCUCCACCCCCCACCCCCCUUGGUGUAUGGAAACAUAAAAAGAAGAAAAAGACCAAGCAGAUGCUGAUAACAUCGCUUAGUAUCUGCUGCAGAGAGGAUGUUGUGGUUGCAAGCGCCUGGGUUCUCUCCACCUUGCUAGGCAGGCCAAGACUGCCAUGGAGUGGAGGGAGGGAGCCGUCACCAGCUCCACCACUGGUCUGGAGCUGCAGCCAAGCCCGAGGGUGUUUGCUGCUGGGCUGGGGCUUUGGGCGUCGCUUUGGACUCUGCAGGAUGUGGGAUGUGCUGCUGAUUGGUGAUGAACUGUUUGCCUGCCUGUGGCACAGAAACAGGCAGAUGCUCAACACUGAAGCUCUAUGGCUGCCGGAUGGGCAAAUAAACGCCGCCCCCAACUUUGUUAAAAAAAAAAGGGAAAAUGAUGUUUCAGUCUCACAAUGAGAAAACAAUCCCAGUAAAUGCUCUUCAUGGAGAGUGUAUUGGACGAAGUGACCUUCUUGGUCCCUUCCAACACAAG
rnacentral:lncRNA from 1 species